rnacentral:rRNA from 1 species
UACGUAGGAUGCAAGCGUUAUCCGGAAUUAUUGGGCGUAAAGAGUGUGUAGGUGGUUUGUUAAGUUAAAUGUUAAAUCUUCAGGCUCAACUUGAAGGCUGCAUUUAAUACUGGCAGACUCGAGGUAUGGAGAGGUAAGCGGAAUUAGUAGUGUAGCGGUGAAAUGCGUAGAUAUUACUAAGAACACCAAUGGCGAAGGCAGCUUACUGGCCAUAUUCUGACGCUGAGACACGAAAGCGUGGGGAGCGAACAGG